CAGCCGCCGCGGUAAUACGUAGGGUGCAAGCGUUAAUCGGAAUUACUGGGCGUAAAGCGUGCGCAGGCGGUUUGUUAAGACAGAUGUGAAACCCCCGGGCUCAACCUGGGAACUGCAUUUGUGACUGGCAAGCUAGAGUCUGGCAGAGGGGGGUGGAAUUCCGCGUGUAGCAGUGAAAUGCGUAGAUAUGCGGAGGAACACCGAUGGCGAAGGCAGCCCCCUGGGCCAACACUGACGCUCAUGCACGAAAGCGUGGGGAGCAAACAGGAUUAGAUACCCCCGUAGUCCCUGUCUCUUAUAC
rnacentral:rRNA from 1 species